rnacentral:tRNA from 2 species
GGAGAGGUGGCAGAGUGGUAAUGCAGCAGCCUGCUAAGCUGUCAACCUUCGGGUUGCCCGGGUUCGAAUCCCGGUCUCUCCG